UACGUAGGGUGCAAGCGUUGUCCGGAAUUAUUGGGCGUAAAGAGCUCGUAGGCGGUCUGUCGCGUCGGCUGUGAAAACCCGGAGCUCAACUCCGGGCCUGCAGUCGAUACGGGCAGACUGGAGUACUGCAGGGGAGACUGGAAUUCCUGGUGUAGCGGUGAAAUGCGCAGAUAUCAGGAGGAACACCGGUGGCGAAGGCGGGUCUCUGGGCAGUUACUGACGCUGAGGAGCGAAAGCGUGGGGGGCGAACAGG
rnacentral:rRNA from 1 species